rfam:Felis catus isolate Cinnamon breed Abyssinian chromosome B4, whole genome shotgun sequence.
GCCUGGGUUGCUCAGUCAGUUGAGCGUUUGACUUCAGCUCAGGUCAUGAUACCACGGCUUGUGGGUCCGAGCCCCACUUCGGGCU